CCCCUCUCAGUGAUGCACCUGGAGAGUUUCCAGUACUCUACCAGUCUCGAUUACGGGAGGAAGAGGCAAGCAUACCCAUUCCAUUCCUAGCUUGCCCAGUGGCUAGCGAGUGGAAGGCAAUCUGCUACAAGU